rnacentral:lncRNA from 1 species
GCUGGUCUCAAACUCCUGGGCCCAGCGAUCCUUUCACCUCCUUAUGGUGCCCGGUCUCCCAAAGUGCUGGGAUGACAGGCAUGAGCCACCCACCACAUCUGGCCCAUGUCAGCUUCCUAAGCCUCAGCUUCCUUGUCUGUGAAGUGGGGCAGUAAUGGGGCCUGUGGCGGUGAAGUUCAGAGGAGGGGAUGUAAACGGGGCGUUCUCUCAGGUGAAAGGCAUUCAACCCAGCCUUUUGUCAGAAGACCUGGGUCUUAGCCGUGUUCCACCAUCUUGGAGCUGAUGAGGCAGGUUGAAUCUGUCAUUCUGCGCAUCCUGUCGUAUAUGCUGCUGAGUGUUUUGUGUAGACAGUCCUGAGUGGCUGAGGUUGGGCAGAUGUAGCCAGACUAUGGACAGAGGCUUCCUGUGAGUCCGAAGAAGUGCCCAGCCCUGCGUUGGCCUGUCCUGGUCGGGCGUGCGGGGCGUGGAGUCUGCAGGCGUCUGUCAUCUGGGCCUGGCUCCCCUCCCCUCUGUGGGCGCCACGCCUCCCGCCCUCCAUGCUGACCUGAACCUCACAGUCCGGUUCCCUGGGUGGUGGACGAGUCCUUGGGUGUCUCCCACCCGCUUGGUGGCAGCCCUGCUUGCCCCUGCGGGGACCUCCCAGCACUGCACCCUCUUGGCUCCGCAGGCUUCCCUGUCCUGGGGCCGGGAGAGGUCUCUGCAGGCUGGGGAGGGGUUUCUGGAAACAUUCUCAGGGGCUGAGCUUGGCGCGCCAUCUCCUUGCCUUUUGAAGGCGAGUUUGGCUGUGAACGGAGCUGCUGGUUCUGAUCCCGUACGCUUCCUCAGACGUUGUGGGCUUGGAGUCUGUGCCACACUCAGAAAAGCACAUUUUUGUGUUUUAAAGUCUACAUUUUGCCUCUUUUGGUUGCUUUAAAAAUGUUAAGAGCCUUAAGUCUGCCCUUAAGCGUACGUGUCGUGUUUUCUCCAAUGAUGAACGGCCUCAUUUUUAAAAUUACACAGAUUUACAAUGUAAUUAUAGAAAAUUAGAAAAUACACGUCAGUACAAGUAAUCAAAAAAAAAAAAACAAAAGAAAAAGAAAAAAACACAUGAAAAUGACCCCAACCCCACCCCCUCUCCACCCCACAGUUGCUAUUAGCCUUACGGUGCAUAGCCUCUAGGUUAUUUACUUUAUGGUUGUGUUUUUAAAUUGUACAGUUUCAUCGACACCCUAUUUUCACUGGCAACACUGUGAACACCUUUAUUCCUUGUUACAUGUAUCUACACCACCAUUUUUAAUGACCACACGGUGUUAGGUUGUUGAGAAGGACUGUGAUUUAUUUAAUAAAGCCUGUAUUGCUGACAGUG